AUCUACCUCUCUCAUGUCCUUCGUUAGAAAGCUUUUUAAACUAACACUGCCCCGUCAUUUUUUACUAGCGAGACAACUUCAAAUCGCCACCAAAUUUCAACCACAUAAUCCCCAUAGUCCUUUAAAAACUAAAUCAUAACCAAUAUUCCCUAAAUCCUCUUCAUUUCUCUAUAAUUUUAGAUUUUAAAACAGGAUCCCUAGACUUGUGCAUUCCUUCGAUUCUUUAUCUAAAAGGUCUGACUCUAAAUAUUCGAUGAUGAUUU
rnacentral:lncRNA from 1 species